GUUUUAAUAGUUUAAAUAAAAUAAUGAUCUUGUAAAUCAUAGAUAGGAUUGACCUUUAAAACU
rnacentral:tRNA from 2 species